GGGGCGUUAGCUCAACUGGCAGAGCAACGGACUUUUAAUCCGUGGGUUCUGGGUUCGAUCCCCAGGCGCCCCACCA
rnacentral:tRNA from 1 species